AGUACUUCACACAGCAGAGUCUUUGUCUGAACUGGAAUACUGGAAAAUAAAGAACAAGGAGCAACUUAUGCUUCAGGACAAAUGAAUUAUCUAAAAUCUGGUGCUGUGCUGCACUCUAUGACUUCACUUCCCUCAGCUGAUACAUCAUUAACCGGCGGGAAACAAUCUGACUUCAGUUACACUGAGAAAUUCUAUAAUAGGUGCUGAGAAAUCAACUGUGCAAGAGAAACCUCGUGAACAGCAGCCUAAGAUGAGGGAAACUUCAUGAGAUAUUUUUCGUACCUUGUCAUAACUGGAUCACUCAUUUUGCAAAGUGCUUCUUUUAUGGAUUGCGAUCCGCUACUUUAUUUUGCCAUUAAACAGGCCAAUUAUCUUUGCUAAAAUACUGUGCUCUUCAGAACUGACUGGCUUCUCUUGAAGUAAAUAAGGAGUCCCUUCCUGGUCCAGAGGACAGUAAAUUCUCUCACCAGGCUCCCACCAGGAACAGGAUGCAGUUCAUCCACACUUUGAAUAGCUGUCUUCAUAACUAGCUCCAGAUUUCAUGUUCUUGUGGACAUUUCAGCAAAAAUGAGCAGUUACUCCCAAGAACUAACCCUGUAGGCAAGGAUGAAUAUAAAUGUGUGGUCAAUCGUUCCAGCAAGGCCUUAUGCAAAAGUACAGAGACUGC